rnacentral:lncRNA from 1 species
UGUGGAUGUGUAGAGUUUAUUGCACAAUUUAUGAAGUGGUGAGAUUGCUGUAUGCAAAUCUGUCUAGAUGGCUCCCUCAGAGGCUUGCGCUAAUUACCCGAGGCAGGCAGGGAAGAGGGAAAGAAAAAGGUAUACAAAAACUCACUAGUUUUUCUUUCUUUUGUUGCUGUUGUUUCUUAGGGUCAAAGAAGAGACUUGACAGAAAAAUUAAGCUGAAAGGAGAGAACAUCUAUGUCCAAGUCCUACGAGGCCUUGCAUCUCUGACCUAAGGGGAUAUUGUAGAAAUAAAAACCUUGACUCGAAACCAGCAGGGAAACCCCAGUAGGCGAAGCGUGGGGAAGACACAGGAACAGCUGAAUGUUGAUUUGCAAUGCUUGUUAUGCACUUCUGAUGUGCUUGCCCUAAAGCUAAAGCAAGCUUCCAGUGGCACUAACAGCAUUUGGUCAGUAAUAGGCUACAAGAUAUAAACAUGUUGAGUAAAAGACAUCGCUGUUUACUGUUCUGUAAAUUGGUUCAUGGUGUUAUGGAGACCUGGUGCUUUUUACAGGGCUUCUGUUGUGCAAAUAGCAUAAUUAAACCCAUUGACAUCUUUUUGAAGUAUAAGUAGCUACUCAUAAUUUUUCAAAAAAUGGCAAAAUGGCAUGAAUAUAUUUCACAGUGAAUCUAUUCCCUUUCUAAACUGGAUAUGCAGUUUAUCAGAAAGUGAGAUGGAUUGGAUGGGAAUGCAUUUAAAAAAAAAAAAAAAAAAAGAAAGAUAGAAAACAAAGACUUUGCCUUCCCUCCAGGAAUGAAUUUACCCACAGACAGGUCCUACAGACUGGUAUCCUUACAUGCUCAAAGUUCUGUGUAUUUUGACUCUUAAUGUAUUGCAGGUACAAUUUGUGGCUCUUAUUUGGGAAAGGACAUAGGAGAAACUUUUCUUAAACUCGGUGCUGUCCAGCUGAAGAAUUUGUUUCAGUGGUAUCCCAUUUUGUUCUCAACCUUUUUUAUUUUUAAUGUUAAACUUUAAUUUAAUCAGAUGUUUAAAAUAUAGUUGACAAUAAUUCAGAUGCAUAACUUGUUACUUUUCAGCAUAACCAGGAUCUAAAGCCAUCAUUUGGGAUUACUGGGGUAUGAAACAACAUGAAAAUAUGAAUAGCAGAAUGAUUAAGUUGUCUACUGUGUCAGGGAAUAACGUUGUUUGCUGAUAUGCAGUACAGCUCCUGGAGCACUUUACUUUGUCAAGACUCUUGAGAAGCACAACAGUUUGAAAAUACUUGUACCCAAACAAAUGAAAAGAUUUCAGAAUAUUUAUUUAAGCUCUGGAGGAAAUGUUUGUUCCAAAGUAGCCUUGCUGCUGUUUAUUCUGUUCUGUGAAAAGAGCUGUGAUAAUUUUAGGAGUUAUGUCUCGUAAACCACAAUAAUCUUUGAAAAAAAAAAUCUUUUAAAAGGCACAGAUGCAUAAUACAUAUGCUUGGAUAAAUAGCAAUGGAUGUGCUCUUCAAUAAGAGGUGUGAACAGUAAUUGAUGAAAUGGUCAUUGUUUUCAAUUUGCAGUAACCAUAACAGCUAAGGAAGGUGUCUCAGGGACUUUCACAAUUGCCUGUGAUAUGGGGUAGAAUCUGAGUAAAAGCACUUCCCUAAAGUGAGUCUGCUAACUGCUCAGAGUUUUGAGACUUGAUCCAUUGCUAAUAUUUUAUCAAUAUGAUGUUAUAUAUAUUGAUAAAAUUUUCACUUGCAUGCAGAGAAUGACAAUUUGUUACAUAUUCUUUUGUUUUAAUAUUGCUUGAAGCUUCACUCUGAACAAUUGCCUGUUGUUACAAGUGUGUUUAAGCUGCAAAUAAGCAGCCCAAGCCCAUCUGCUACUGAAAGAAGGAAGGUUGUGGCAAAGCUCAGCAUGCUGAGAGUGCAGUCUUAGAGAAAUGCAGCUGAGUUAAUGCAGAAGCCUCUGACAUUUUUCAUUUUCUUGGAGGUGCUACUUUGCUAUGGAGUAAAGUACGAUUAUGUCUAUCAUACACAGUACAGAGUGUUGCAUCAUCUUAGUCUUAUUCCACAACAAUCAUUACCUAGAAGAUCACAGCAAAAGGCAGUGUUCAUGGAAAAGGGUAUGGCUGUCAGUCAAAAUCAUUCCCUCGACUCCUUUCCAUGAUUAUCAACUGAACAUAAAGAAAUGUAGUUAUAAAAGGCCUUCCCGUGACUCUCUUGUGCUCUGCAAGCCUGGUGUUUAGCUCUGAAAGCAGUAUCCUUCUACUGGCACGGGUCAAGCCCUUCUCUCAAGCUUCGGAAACCCAGACUUACUUGGCAGCCUGAGGAAUAAUCUUGCAGGAAUUACAUCAUGUUUCCACAAAACUUAGCCUGGACUUGAGCUAGAGUCUUCACAAGAUGUUAUUUUGAUUUGGGCAGAAGAGCUUUUCCUGAAAAAGGCAAUGUUAUUGCUGAGAAUUGAGUUUCUGAUAUAUAACAGAUAAGGUAAUAUUUUGGUUUCUCCCAGACCAGAAGCUGUUUUCAUGAGAGAUUUCAUUACAUACAUCCUAAUGAAACCUUUAGCAAACAUCUGGGGGAGAAUCUUGCCAUUGCUGUUUUGCAGCAUCUGGACACAGUUGUUUCUAUCUACAGAGCACGUCACUUCCUAUUAAUCCAUUGCAUUCUGUCCUUUUCUGCUUUCUGCCUGCACGCCGCUUGUUCUUCCCCAUCUGCUGCCCACACUUUAUUACUUCUCUCCCUUUCAGCCCAACAGCCCCUUUUCAAGGCAGGCCAAUAUCUCAUGCUGCCUCUGCUUAUGCCUACUGGAGGAAUUCCCAGGGUGAUGCUCUGACACAAGACAGUCCAUCACAGAUUCUCUGGACCUAAAGUAUUUAAGCAUUUACAACACUGUCUUUCUAAGCACGCUAAAGAGUAAUUCCAGGCCAAAACUGCGCAUACACAACCAUUCUUCAUCUCACCUAGGGUAAGACAAGCACUCCAAAUCAACUGCCACUUCCCUGGCAACAAAGAAAAAUUUGGCUCAGCAAAGUGUCUCUGCUGAGGAUCCACAGACUCCUGGGACUUCUGAGUGGGGCAUGAUACAGCUCUCCAGUGUGAUAGCUGGGUUGAUACAUCAUUCUGUAGGCCUUCACUAGCCAGGCCAGAGUUUUUUUUCUUUUUUUUUUUCUUUUUUUUUCCUCCAAAGCUUCAAGGAAAGAUGUGCAGUUCCUUCCCCUUCACAUCCACUCCUCCAGUCAUGAACCCUUUCCAGCAGUGUUCUGCUGGCUGUGACCUGGUGAGUGUGUCCCUAAUGCUAACAAACCUGCACAUACUUGUCUUUCAGAACAUCUUUAGAAUUGCUCUCCAUCAGUGCGUACCUUAAGAGUACCUUAACAACCCUUCUUCUUCCUUUGUCUACAUUCUGCUGUUGCCUCACUGGUUGUUGCAGGUGCUUUCUAUGUUAUCACUACAUAUUUAACCGAUGCCUUUUUCUAUUUACUUGUUUUUGGUUUUCCCUCUCUGUUUUUUUUUUUUUUUUUUUUUUUUUUUUUUUUUUUUGUGAUGCCAUUCUCAUCUUUCACAUGGAAAUGUUUUAUAAUGAGUGUAUGAGUUAAAAUGCAUAAAAAUAUGUACUUUUAUGUAAGAAAAACAUGCUUUCCAGUAGGUAUUGAAAUUACUGCAUGCCACUUGUGUUAAGUAAAUACUGGUGCCAGUUUGUGUCUGGAGAGUUGUACAGUUCCAGUUAAAACAAGAUAUGAAUGGUUCAUCAUUGGUAACAUGCUAUUUCCAGCAAAAUAUGUCAGAAAGUCACUGAAACUUCUCAAUUAACUGAGUGAUGUUAAUGUGGUUUCAGAAAAGAGAAAAUGGUCAUGUUUUCUUGCACUACUGGGGAUAAUGCCAAGUAUGUGGUAUUAAAUCAACUAUCUGGUAAUAAAAGUUAUAUGGAAACAGAUUUUGGUUACUAU